rnacentral:tRNA from 1 species
GGUGGCUCAGUGGUAGAGUGCUUGCCUUGCAUGCAAAAGGCCCUGGGUUCAAUUCCUCAGCACCA